GUGAGUGAGUGAGUGACCGACCGACAGACCGGCUCAGGGUACCUAGAGUGAGGCAGAGCUGGGGAGCUCCAGGCUGCAGGGCCUUGUCCAAGGCCCCAUAGAGGCUCUGCAUACAGCCUGCGGAAGUUGAGAAAACUUUGACCGGGACAGGAGUUAUAUGGACGUUCCUUGAGGUUCUGAAAGUAAUUUGUGACACCCUCUCUUGUGGGGAGAGAAGAAAAAGUACACCCGGCUCUACCCCGAUAUAACACUGUCCUCGGGAGCCAAAAAAUCUUACCGCGUUAUAGAAAGAUGGAGCUGACGUACAUGAAUUUCCCUUGGCAGAACCUCCGCGAGUGGCUGCUUCCUUGUCAGAUAUGAUCUAUUCGUCUGAGAAGGGAAAUACAUUUGUGGAACCCACUUGAACUUGACUGCGAGAGACUGUUAAGGCCAGGAUUUUAUUAAUGCGUAUUCCUUUUUUUAAUUCAAUAUGUUGACCAUUUGCAGUAUUUUAACGCAAUGUACCAGCGUGGAUUUUCCAGUGAUAGAUUUAAUUGAGAGGGAAAUGGACAUUUUUCACUUACUAAAGUUGUCAUGUCCUUUCUGAGACUCUUUCUGUACUUUACCAGCAUUCCUGAAGCUUCUCAGCACUGCUGAGAGGAAAGUACAUAGGAUUGUAUCUACCCCUUGAGCUGAUCUCUCUGUGCUUACCUUGUGGCCACCUCUGUCAUGUCUGAUCACUUAGUGACCCGCUGCAAUCCCAUUGAUUUCAUUGGAGUUCUGCCAGUGCAACAAAGUGGGCCCAUGUCAGCUGGGACACAGAGACGCUAAGGGUUGGAUUGUGCUCGGGCAGUCUCCAUGUGUACAAGAAGGUAAGGCACAAGGGCCCAGCUCCUUGUGGGUAUUUAGGCUUCUCACUUCCAUUGAAAUCAGUGGGAAUUAGCUGCCUAGACACCUUGGUGGGUCUGGGCCAAGAAGCUUCCCCCUGCAGUGGAGCCAGGAACUAAUGCAGCGACUGCUUCUUCUGAGGGCCCCGGAGAUGCUCGUCGCUGCAAAGCGGGAGGGGGGAAGGACUCGCAGACCCUCACAUGCUGGAGCUGGCCAGAUGUGCAGGAGGAAGUGUCCAGCAUUGGUGUGGAAGCAGACAUGCUCCCCAUCCUCCCCCGGGGAGCUCCAGGAGGGAUUGCACCUCCCACUGCUCUCACUCUGUGUGUGUGUGUGUGUCCGUGUCCCCACAGCACUCCCUAGCUGGCGCUGCACACAACUGAGCCCCAGCUGAAUUGUCCAGGAUCACACUAUUUUCUUGAGCUUUCCCAACUGUACCGCCACCUGCACAGCUCUGUCAUGGGGUCCACUCACCCCUAGGGCGCCCCCUGCUGGCCGCUCUGAGGAUUAGCUCUUUGCUGCGCCCUCCUCUGGCCAUCUCACCACCCGUCAUUCUCUCUUACCCUGCACCCUCUCGCUCUCGGAGCUGCCACUUCCUGUUCGUGACCUGGCCCCCGCGGCCAGGUCACUAUGGUUCUCCUCUUCCAGGGUAUCCAAGUCCUUCAGAGUGAACUGUCCCUGGCAGUCCACUCUCUGCGCCACUUCCCCAGGGGCUGGUAGGGGGGCCCAGGCCCACCCUCUGCUCCGGGUUCCAGCUCAGGAACACACUAAUCAGCAGCCAAGCUCUGCCCUACCCCACACUCUGCUGCCUUCCCUGCCUCUCUGGCUCUCCCCCUGCGCUGGGUUUGCCGGCCCAAACUCCCUCCUCCCAGGGAGUGACUGUAGGCUACCUAGCUCAACAGCCCCAGGCACACCUCCCUUCUCCUUCCCUGCCACCCCGUCUGCUCUCAUCUCAGCUCCUGGGUUUUAUCCAGGCCCCUCUGUUCCUGGCCAGCUAAGCCUCAUUUAAUCAACCCCUUCUCCCUGGCUCCUCCGCCACGUGCAGCCCGGGGAGUUAAUUGGCCCACCUGGCCAUCUUAACCCCCUCAAGCCUUGCAGGGGGUGGACGCCCCAUCGCAAACUCCAAGCGGGAUAACAGCCGUGGAUGCUAGAAUGGAUCGGCCCUCAGCAUCUUAACCCCAGCGUCAUGUAAUCCUGUGCAGAGCACCGGGGCUGACCCACCGGCAGCUUGUGUAGGAUAGUGCUCUGUGCCGGUGGUGGUGUAGCAGUGGGACAGCUGAAGAAAAAUGCUCGUGUAGACAAGGCCAGUGAGCCAGUGACAGAGCUUGGAAUAGAACCCAGGGCUCUUGAUCCCUGGCCCACUUGAGCUCCCUUCCAAAGAGUGAGGCUCUUUGUGCAGGGUAUUGUAGCAGUCUGUGGCCCAUUACUCUCUCACUGCCGUCUGUCCUUCCAGCACAUUCAGCGUGAACUCAGGAGGCCUUGCCAUGACCCAUAAGCUGGAUCAGAAAGUGCAGAGCCCUCGCUGGAACCCUGGUGCUUCUCAGCCACGUUUGUCCCAACGCCGGUUAUUUACCCGCGUGUCUCGGGCUGUGAUUAGUGAGUGUUAUUGUGUAAUAAACAGCUUUGCUGAAGCAUUAUUUGCCAGUAUUCCCUCUGGCAGAAAAAGUCCCAUUCUCCCAGAGAGAUGGUGCCGCACCAACCUGCGGACCUAAUAGUUUUCAUUUGAUAGUGCAGUUAUUUCAUUUUAAA